UACGUAGGUGACAAGCGUUGUCCGGAUUUACUGGGCGUAAAGAGCGCGCAGGCGGUCGUUCAAGUCGAGUGUGAAAGCCCCCGGCUCAACUGGGGAGGGUCACUCGAUACUGAUCGACUCGAAGGCAGGAGAGGGUAGUGGAAUUCCCGGUGUAGUGGUGAAAUGCGUAGAUAAUCAGGAGGAACACCAAUGGCGAAGGCAGGUCUCUGGGCUGACACUGACGCUCAUGCACGAAAGCGUGGGGAGCAAACAGG
rnacentral:rRNA from 1 species